UCCCUUCUGUUCUUAACCCUAUAGGAUUUCCAUGGAAAUCAGAGUGCCCUUCUUCAGAGAAUGUUCUGCAGCACUUAGAAAAAAGUUAUGGUAAUAGCAAGAUACAAUUAAAUAACCUCAGUAACUAGCCUUAGCUGUUAAAAUAUUUUACUUCAUAUCCCUCCAUAAUUUUAUCUUUUUAAACUUUAUUUCAAACUUGUUACUUAGAGACUUAAAACUGCAUAUUUUGGAUCAGAAAAAAGGUCAUGUCCAUUUUUAAAAAACCUUUGAUAAGUCAAUUUAAAAAAAAAAACUGACCUAGAAAAGGUUUAUUGAUAUCGUUUCAUAGUUCAUUAACUGAUAUCCAUACAUAAAACUGUAAUUUACCUUAAGUUCAUAUAUUAGCUGCAGUUUUUAAAUGUCUAAAAGACCCUUAAAUUGGACCAUAAGAUAAUAGAUAGUUUGAAUUUAUAGAAAUAGAAAAUAUUGUCACAUUUAUUUUUAAGCUCAAAGACAAGUAAGUCACUGCUGUGAUAUACUUAAUGCAUAUUUCCAACUUCAGUAUGAAACAUUCAAUUGUAGUUUUCCUGUUUUCACAGAGAAGGGUGACCCAUGUGUGCUUUGGUCUAGUACUGAAAUUUAAAUGGUUAUCAUAUUGCUUGCACCUGUUCUGUGAUAAGUUCUUUUGUAUUAGUGUAUAAAGUGGAACACUUUUCAAAGGCUAAUUUGGUUCCCUAUCUGAUAGGAAUAUAGGAUAUAAACUUCUUUAAUUGCUUGCUUUUUUAAAGUACCAAAUAUGUACUUCUUAAAGUUACAUGUUUAAUAAUAAUAAGUGUUUAAAUGUUUAGAGCAUCCAGUGUAUAGUUGGUGUUACUUGAUUACAAAUUUCCCACUUAACAUUUAUAUUUGAUGUACUUAAAUUUAAUAAAGGCAGCUAAUCUAUAAUUCCACUGUAAAUCUAAUACUUUCUGGAAGUGCAAUGGGAUUGUCCAAGUGUGAAUUAACCUCCCAGUGUUAUGUGGACUACAUAGGGCGGUAAGAC
rnacentral:lncRNA from 1 species